AACUUCUACCCUGUUGACAGUAGUAUUUUGCACCAUCUUCAGCCUCCACUGGAUUUAUGGUGAAGUUGAAAUCUGUCUCAGACCCACUGCCACUGAACUGGUUUUGGUACUCACUUUCCCUGUUGGAUCCUGGAUAGGUCAGAAGUUUUGGAGGCUGUCCUGGUUUCUGUUGGUACCAAUAUAUG